UUGUUAUUCAUGACUGGGGUGAAGUCGUAACAAGGUAACCGUAGGGGAACCUGCGGUUGGAUCACCUCCUUACCUUAAAGAAGC
rnacentral:rRNA from 1 species